UACGGGGGGGGUAAGCGUUGUUCGGAAGUACUGGGCGUAAAGGGCUCGUAGGCGGCCAACUAAGUCAUACGUGAAAUCCCUCAGCUUAACUGGGGAACUGCGUGUGAUACUGGAUGGCUUGGAUUUGGGAGAGGGAUGCGGAAUUCCAGGUGUAGCGGUGAAAUGCGUAGAUAUCUGGAGGAACACCGGUGGCGAAGGCGGCAUCCUGGACCAAUAUUGACGCUGAGGAGCGAAAGCCAGGGGAGCAAACGGG
rnacentral:rRNA from 1 species